rnacentral:lncRNA from 1 species
GCCGGUGCUGGUCGUCGGCGUCGAAGGAGGCGGAGGUCGACGACGACUUCCGCGGCUCGAAGCCGCUCUGGACCUUGGAGGCCAGCGGGAGCUGCGAGGGCGGCGAGGAGGCGGCAGCGGAGAUCGAGUGCCGCCGGACGAGGGGGCCCUCGGCCGGUGCUGGUCGUCGGCGUCGAAGGAGGCAGAGGUCGACGACGACUUCCGCGGCUCGAAGCCGCUCUGGACCUUGGAGGCCAGCGAGAGCUGCAAGGGCGGCGAGGAGGCGGCGGCGGAGGCGGCGGCGGCGGCGGCGGCGGCGGCGGCGGAGAUCGAGUACCGCCGGAUGAGGGGGCGUUUGAGUACCGCCGGAUGAGGGGGCGUCGAAGGAGGCGGAGGUCGACAACGACUUCCGCGGCUCGAAGCUUGUCGACCUCCGCGGCUCGAAGCCGCUCUGGAUCUUGGAGGCCAGCGGGAGCUGCGAAGGCGGCGAGGAGGCGGCGGUGGCGGCGGCGGAGAUCGAGUACCGCUGGACGAGGAGGGCGCUCGGCCGGUGCUGAUCGUCGGUGUCGAAGGAGGCGGAGAAAGAUUUUUGUGAGAGAGACUUCGUGCGAGAGAAGAGAGAAGAGAAAGGGCACUUCAAAUGCGAAGGGCGGGAGAAGGACGCGGC